rnacentral:rRNA from 1 species
CAGCCGCCGCGGGAAUACGUAGGGUGCGAGCGUUAAUCGGAAUUACUGGGCGUAAAGCGUGCGCAGGCGGCUUUGCAAGACAGAUGUGAAAUCCCCGGGCUCAACCUGGGAACUGCAUUUGUGACUGCAAGGCUAGAGUGCGGCAGAGGGAGACGGAAUUCCGCGUGUAGCAGUGAAAUGCGUAGAUAUGCGGAGGAAUACCGAUGGCGAAGGCAGCCCCCUGGGAUAACACCGACGCUCAUGCACGAAAGCGUGGGGAGCAAACAGGAUUAGAUACCCCGGUAGUCCCUGUCUCUUAUAC